rnacentral:rRNA from 1 species
UACGAAGGGGGCUAGCGUUGUUCGGAAUUACUGGGCGUAAAGCGCACGUAGGCGGACAUUUAAGUCAGGGGUGAAAUCCCGGGGCUCAACCCCGGAACGGCCUUUGAUACUGGGUGUCUUGAGUUCGGAAGAGGUGAGUGGAAUUGCGAGUGUAGAGGUGAAAUUCGUAGAUAUUCGGAAGAACACCAGUGGCGAAGGCGACUCACUGGCCCGUUACUGACGCUGAGGCGCGAAAGCGUGGGGAGCAACAGG